GAGGCCGUGGCCAGCAAGGUCUGCCCAGUGGUGGGUACAGCACGUGACUUCCACUGAGAUCACAAUCAGAAAGCUAUUCCUCACUGAGAGAGAAGAAUCCACUCCAUUCCAGCAACACAGGACAUCACAGGACAUACGCACUGCUCAGGAAAUCAUCUGACCUGGCCCUGCAGAGCACGGGACCCAGGAAGAUUGUGUUAGAGGACCAGAGCCCGUGUGGAGCACAGGGAGGGAAACAAAGCUUGUCAGUGUCACCAACAAAAACUCAACUUCUGACAUUAAUCCUGAGUAGUUACCCAUGCCCAGACCGAUGCAGAGAUCCGACCCAACAAAACAACGUCGCAGCGUGAGCAGCCGAGAAGUGACGACACCACGGGGCGGAGGGGAACGGAGAGGAAAGCUGCUGACGCCAGGGAGAGAUGCCGCUGGGCCAGGCACGGCUGCCCGCAGGAGAGGCCUCCGCAGGGAGAGGAAACUAAUGAAGACAACGGGGAGAUGGAGGAAGGAACCAGAGAUGUUCAAAGACUAGAUCGUGGGUCAGAUGGUAAUGACUCUAACCUAAGGCAGGGAUGAUGGCAGAAAGAUGCCUUCACAGGACAAACUGAGCCUAGCGCUCAACACCCCCACCUGGGGAAAGUGACACCUGCAUGGGAACUUAUCCAUGGGUACCACCAGACCCAAAGGACCUCUAUCUUCAAGUAAACCCUACGCUCCCCAAGCAGACAGUGUCAUUUCGGUGAAUGUCCUAACAGCAAAACAAAUUUCUUCUCCGGGGAAUGGUCUUCACAAAUUAUUGCCCAGAGAGUGAAUAAUUCUUCUCUAGUCAGUGGCUAACAGGGAAAUUAUCUAUGUGCCUCUGGACUUGUUCUUGUAUCACAGUGAAUAAACUGGUCCAACCC